rnacentral:rRNA from 1 species
UUCCUACGGGGCGCAGCAGUGGGGGAUAUUGCACAAUGGGGGAAACCCUGAUGCAGCGACGCCGCGUGAGUGAAGAAGUAUUUCGGUAUGUAAAGCUCUAUCAGCAGGGAAGAAAAUGACAGUACCUGACCAAGAAGCCCCGGCUAACUACGUGCCAGCAGCCGCGGUAAUACGUAGGUGGCAAGCGUUGUUCGGAAUAACUGGGCGUAAAGGAUGCGUAGGCGGUUAAACAAGUUGUAUGUUAAAUAUAUA